rnacentral:rRNA from 1 species
CCUACGGGAGGCAGCAGUGAGGAAUAUUGGUCAAUGGACGCAAGCCUGAACCAGCCAUGCCGCGUGCAGGAAGACGGCCCUAUGAGUUGUAAACUUCUUUUGUACGAGAGUAAAGGCCGAUAUGCGUAUUUCUCUGAAAGUAUCUUACGAAUAAGGAUCGGCUAACUCCGUGCCAGCCGCCGCGGUAAUACGGAGGAUUCAGGCGUUAUCCGGAUUUAUUGGGUUUAAAGGGUGCGUAGGCGGUCGGAUAAGUUAGUGGUGAAAUUCCGAGGCUCAACUUCGGAAUUGCAGCUGAUACUGGUCGGCUAGAGAGUAGUAGAGGUAGGCGGAAUGCAUGGUGUAGCGGUGAAAUGCUUAGAGAUCACACAGAACACCGAUUGCGAAGGCAGCAUACCGGGGUACUACUGACGUUGAGGCACGAAAGCGUGGGGAGCGAACAGGAUUAGAUACCCGUGUAGUC